rnacentral:rRNA from 1 species
CGGCGUGCUUAACACAUGCAAGUCGAACGGUGAACCAGAGCUUGCUCUGGGGAUCAGUGGCGAACGGGUGAGUAACACGUGGGCAACCUGCCCCAGACUCUGGGAUAACCUCGGGAAACCGAUGCUAAUACCGGAUACGACCACUUCGGACAUCCGACGGUGGUGGAAAGUUUUUCGGUCUGGGAUGGGCCCGCGGCCUACCAGCUAGUUGGUGGGGUAAUGGCCUACCAAGGCGACGACGGGUAGCCGGCCUGAGAGGGCGACCGGCCACACUGGAACUGAGACACGGUCCAGACUCCUACGGGAGGCAGCAGUGGGGAAUAUUGCACAAUGGGCGAAAGCCUGAUGCAGCGACGCCGCGUGAGGGACGACGGCCUUCGGGUUGUAAACCUCUUUCAGCAGGGACGAAGCGAAAGUGACUGUACCUGCAGAAGAAGCACCGCCUAACUACGUG